GAUGAACGCUGGCGGCGUGCUUAACACAUGCAAGUCGAACGGUGAAGGCGGAGCUUGCUCUGCUGGAUCAGUGGCGAACGGGUGAGUAACACGUGAGCAAUCUGCCCCUGACUCUGGGAUAAGUUCUGGAAACGGCGUCUAAUACUGGAUACGAGCUGCGAAGGCAUCUUCAGCAGCUGGAAAGAACUUCGGUCAGGGAUGAGCUCGCGGCCUAUCAGCUUGUUGGUGAGGUAACGGCUCACCAAGGCGUCGACGGGUAGCCGGCCUGAGAGGGUGACCGGGCACACUGGGACUGAGACACGGCCCAGACUCCUACGGGAGGGAGCAGUGGGGAAUAUUGCACAAUGGGCGAAAGCCUGAUGCAGCAACGCCGCGUGAGGGACGACGGCCUUCGGGUUGUAAACCUCUUUUAGCAGGGAAGAAGCGAAAGUGACGGUACCUGCAGAAAGAGCGACGGCUAACUACGUG
rnacentral:rRNA from 1 species